rnacentral:pre_miRNA from 1 species
AGUAAAAUUACUGGAUCAUAGUUUAAUUGUAAGUUUAGCUUUUUGAGAAACUACCAAAGUGUUUUCCAAAAUGGCAGUACAAUUUUACAUUCCCGUCAGUAAU